rnacentral:lncRNA from 1 species
CAAGACUUUUAAAGGAGUAGAGAUGGGCAGUGAAAUGUGGAUUCUCUGGGAUCUGGAGCUGACGCAUCUGGAAGAUAACAAUUUAGAGAAUAGAAGGAAAAAAGAGCCAACAGCUGAGAGCAGGAAUUCUCCUCAGCACCCUGCUAAUCACUCUUGCCUCCUGCUGGCUUCUCACCUCCACCAACAAGUGUGCCAGACAGUGCACUGUCCAGUGACUGUGAGGACCCCACCAAGGUACAAGCUAAUCUUCGACCUGUUUCUCCAUGGAGAUUGCUUUCCCUGAGCACAUUUUUGGGACAGCAUAAAUGUUUUAGGUCUGAGCACCCAGCAUUCCUAGUCUCGCCUAUGGCCUUCCUUUCGAUGAAUACAAGGCUUUGUCUUAAUCAGCA